CUAAGUGUCGCAGUUUUGGUGUGUUCACCCUUUAUUAUGUUUUCUAUUCAGCUUUAAUACAUUUUUUUAUAUAAUUCAUCUUAUAAUGUAAACCAUUACAAUAUAAGCUUCAAACUUUGUCCAAAAUUUAGGAAAAUUCGCCAGACUAGUGAAUUUUUUGGUUGCUAAAAAUGCCGUUGAUUUUUAGUAAUUCUUUUACGCAACUUGGGACAUUUUCACUAAUAAAUUUGUGACUCUCCUAUUUUUUAUUUUUUUAUUUUUACGUGCAAAAAUUGGUGCGUUGAUUGGUCAUAUUUGAGUGUUUAAGUGAGAAGUUGUCGGACCCGGCGCUCUUGCAGCAACUGGAAAAAAUAAGAUCAGAAGAUAAAAGGAUCUGACCAACUCAUAGCGCUACCACUACAUGUUUUGCUGCGUGCAACUAUAAAACGAAAAGCGAAUAGCGUCAAAAAGAUUUACAGGUCUACCAUCAAAGAUUCCCAGAUAUCAUUUCUCCUUCAUGUAAUUACGGCCAACGAUGUUGAAAACAGUUUAGAAAAGCUGAAGAGUUCUCUUUACGACCGCGGUGAGAGCUUACAACCAAUUGUUAUUGCAGUUGGUUAUAAUUUAAGUGACUCAAAAUUUUAUGUUUAUUUCGAUGAAAUCAAAUAUGAGCUGCCUUGUUUUUUAAGCGCCUUUGAUACCUGUUUUAAAGUGUUUCAUGUAUUGAAUUUAAAAUACUCUGGCUUAGAGUUUUGGAUGUUCGUUCAAAAAUAUUUUUAUUGUAUACAUUUAAAAGACGACAAGCCAUCUCCUAAUGUACUAUGUUUAAUUAACAACCUAAAAUAAUGGGUUUAUAAGCCUUAAUUAUUAUAUUAUUUCAAUAUGGUUUCAUGCUUUUUGUGUAAAUACCAUUGUUAACAUUUUCAAACGAUUUUUUUUUGAAACAAUUGUUCUUAAGUUUUUUAACUAAUCUGCACGACAAAUCAAAUUUUACCAGAAAAGACAUAGAUGUACUUGUGAAUGAUUUAACGCAACUAAUAUUUUUACCGCCAGCCAGCGACCUUUGUGGAGAAAGAUUUAUUGAAGAACGAACAGGAAAUAGAUAUGCAGAAUAUAAGGAGUCUCAUUUUAUUUUUCAAAGAUCCAUUUUAUAAAAUUAAAACUUUUCAUAAAUUUGUAAAAGUUCUUAAAGAAAAUGAUGCUUGGGAAGCUGCUAAAGAAUUCGAAAUCGUUAAUAGGGUACUACCCGUAAUUUUAAAUAAUGAAAUAGUUUUUACAGAAAAACAAAGCAAAGUUACUCUCAUGCCAAUAAAAUUUCAGAUAAAAGGUUUUUCGAACUACCUAACAUUUUAAAAGAUACUUUAUGUAAUACUUAUGAAAGUGAGGGAAAAUUGGACAGAAUUUGAUGACAAUCUUUUAAACGAAAUGCAGGAGAAAAUCGAAAAACACCAUAAGCUUCGAACUUUUCGGAACUACACUAAAACCAAAAUUUCAUUUGUGAUUCACUAUCCCACGUUUAUAAAAAACGUUGGACCAUUAAAGAAUCUCUGGUGCUUUAAAUUUGAAUCUAAA